AAAAGAACCACCACAGACCAAUAUUCCUGAUGAACACAGAUAUAAAAAUCUAUAAUAAAAUAUUGGGAAUUCAUAUUCAAACCACAUGAAGAAGAGUCUACUUAAUGAUUGAAUUGGUUCCAUUCUAGGGAUGCAAGGAAUGCUUAACAUAUGCAAAUCUAUGACAUAAUUCCUUACAAAAAAAAUGACAAAAAUCAUAUUGUCAUUUUAUUAGAUGUAGAAAAGCCCUUGGACCAAAAUCUAGCACCCAUUCAUGUUAAAAAUACUGGAGCAACUAUGGGUAGAUGGAACUUACUUCAACAUUCUAAAAGAAGAAUAUAUAUAUAUGACAAACCCAAAGCCAACAUUAUACCAAACAGAGAAAAAAACUAAGAGAAAUUCCUUUAAAAUCAGGAACAAGAUAAGGAUAUCCACUCUUACUUCUCCUAUUCACUAUAGUAGAAAUUUUAGCCAGAGCAAUUAAGCAAGAGAAGGAAUUUAAAGUGAUACAAUAGGAAAGGAUGAUGCCAAAUUAUCAGUUUGCAGAUGAUGUGAUCCUAUACUUAGAAGAGCCAAAACAAACAAACAAACAAACAAACAAACCAAAAAACCUCACCAGAAGACUCCUAGAGCUGAUAAAUACAGCACAAAUCAGAUACAAAAGCAACAUGUAAUAAUUGCUUUUUGAAUGUUAAACCAACAUUACUUUUCAUGGGCUAAUCUUUAUUUAUUCGUGAAUUUGUUGUCCUUUAAUAUAUUUUUGAACUUGAUUUUCUUACCCUUUUUUCUUCUUUUGGUGUUUGGGAUCAAGCCCAGGGAUUUAUGAAUGCUAAGCAAUUGCUCUACCACUGAGCUAAAUUACAAGCCCCUUCUUAUGUAAUUUUAAAUGUUCUUUUAUUAAUUAGGUAUAUUGGUCUGUAGUGUUUUUUAAAUGUCUUUAUUAUAUUUUGAUGGAAUUAUUUCAGCCCCAUGCAAUUUG
rnacentral:lncRNA from 1 species